rnacentral:sRNA from 1 species
GGCCAUAAUGGUCCUAACUGCUCUUAUUAACGGUGAUUAUUUCCUCUAAUCUGGCCACCAAAUAUUAUCUGAGUUGCUUCAAUGCAAUUAACACCUUUCAUGGUAUAUGUGCUAAGGUGUGUUUUCAUAAGUGACAUGAUAUACUGAAAUAAGGCGGAGACACAGCCUACUUGAAUAAAUAUAAAGUUUAGUUACAAGUAAAUAAAUUAAAAAAAUGUGUGCUCAUGUAAUUUGAUUUAAAUGCCAUAUCUCACAAUAGAACGUAAAAUUGGCACACUCUUUACAUACUAAUAGUGAUAUGAAUCAGAAAUCAGAAUCAAAACUCAAACUUCUGAUUUCAAAAUGUCACUCUAACACUGAAGGGAAGAUGUAAAUGUAUGCAUAAAAAUGUAAAUAUUUAUUUAAUAAUUAUUAAAUAAUAAAAACCUGGUUCUGGUUAUGUUGAAUGCAUUUGUACUUUUGACUUGCAAAACCCUUGCUCAAAUGUUAGACUUUAUCUUUAAAUAAUAUCUGGUAUUUUUUCCUUCCAAUUUCGGGAUAUUUUAACAAUUGUUUUAAGUAUGAAGGCGUUACACAGCGUUACAAAUGUUUUGUUAUGUGUGAGAAGUCAACUUCUCUGAUUCCGGAAAAAGGAACAGAAUUCCUUAUUGUUGCCAUGGCAAAAAGGUUUCUACUUUAUUUACUUAUCUUCUUCAUCAGUGCAAACUUAGUAAUAUGGAGUAUCCAUUUAUUUUAAUUUUUAAAGAACAAAAAGACUUAAUAUCACUUGCCAGAAUCAAUGAAAUUUAUAUUUGUUAUUUGUUAAAGAUUGACAAUGUGACUUAAUAUCACUUGCCAGAAUCAAUGAAAUUUAUAUUUGUUAUUUGUUAAAGAUUGAUAUUGUUUUACAGUAAUGUCAAUAUAUAGUAAAUGAACUAGAGAAAUGAACUCCUCAAAUGAUGGUUAAUUACCAUAUCAUGGUUAAAUAAGGUUAAUCAGGGCAUGCUUUAAAUUUAAUGCCAUGAAUAUGCUUCCUAACUUUUGAUAUAAAUGAAGUCAGAAAAAGUAAAGCAGCAAAAGGCAAUUUGUCUUUAGUAACUCAUUUACUAAAUGUUGACCUUAAAAUGGCAAGCCUCCAUAUUCAGAAUAUUGGUAAUAGAAUAAACAUAUAUGUGUGUAAGGGAGGGUGUAUGUGUUUAUAAUAAUGAUUUUUUCAUUUUGCUCAAUAUUUAAAUAUUUAUGUUUUAAUUAAGCUUUUAUUGUGCAUUCAAAGUAUCUCAAUAGAUAUAAUUUAAAUAAUGAAAUAACUCUUAAUAAUCUCCUUUAUUGAAACAUAGUUAUAUUUCUACAUGUGUACAUGACAAUUGCUUUACAAUGUAGGGUAUUUGUGUGAUAGUUUACUUGAUGUGUUGAAAUUAAUCAAAUGCUAUGCUGUAUAUAUAUAUGUAUAAAUCAUAUUAUAAAUAAAGAGAAUGUGAC